GUUUUAACUUCAAUAAUAGUUUAAUAUAAAUGAUAGUUUAAUAUAAUCUCCUCUGUCUGCAGACUGUACCACGUUCAACACGGCUGUAACUGAUUACCAAGCAGCUAUUCAGAGCCACUUUUGGGUCACCACUAUUCCUGCACAUAACCAGAACUUUGUCAUAGACCAGGUGAUGGUGGAUGGAAGCUCCGUUGACUUUACCACCGGAGGCUACACCCGUGUCGAGGUGACCGUCACGAUGUUCGGGGAGACCUACACCUUCAACCUGGACAACGGCUACAGCCCGUUUGAUCCAGGCGCAUCUGGACAAGAGAUUGCCCACAAGGCAAUUGACCACUACAAGGCUAGCCACCCCCCUCCCUCAGCUAAAGUGUACACAUUUGGACACAACUAAUUCAUGAGUGGCAUCUCAUGAUCAUGUCCUUGAAAAUAAAGCUUCAUGUGCUCUAAAACUCA